GAUCCUGGCUCAGGAUGAACGCUGGCGGCGUGCCUAAUACAUGCAAGUCGAACGCGCAGCGAGAGGUGCUUGCACCUUUCAAGCGAGUGGCGAACGGGUAAGUAACACGUGGAUAACCUGCCUCAAGGCUGGGGAUAACAUUUGGAAACAGAUGCUAAUACCGAAUAAAACUUAGUAUCGCAUGAUAUCAAGUUAAAAGGCGCUACGGCGUCACCUAGAGAUGGAUCCGCGGUG
rnacentral:rRNA from 1 species